AAUAAGAUGCCUGAUUAAAGGAUUAUUUUGAUAGAAUAAAUUAAGUAAAUUUUACUCUUAUUG
rnacentral:tRNA from 1 species